UCAGCAAAAUGAAACUAUAAAACCUAAUUAGGGUUUCUCACGAUAUAGGGUUUUUAGGAGAUUAGAGAGGGUUUCUGAGAUUGGGUUUCAACCUUAAAGGUGAUGUACUUUGAUUUCCAUUAGUGUGGUGCGUUGUGCUUUUCUCACACUGAUGUUUAUAGGCUGUGUUUGAUGUCUUCAGUGUGUGGUAUUUAGGGUAUUGGCUUGUUAUAUUAUGGUGCUGGUAAUGUUUUGUGUUCUCUGGAUAUUGUGUUUGGUUUUAAUAGCUAAAGUCUUGAUUUUUUUAAGUAAAAUCUUUUGUUGGCCGGAAAUUUUACUUGGUGCCAGUGAUGUACUGAAUGCACGUAUUAUCUGAAUAAUACAUGUUGAAUUAGCUAUUUGUCACUACCUCUGAGGCACUUAUUUUCAUAAAUUGGCUGGGUUCGGCCUGUGUAGUUUUGUUCGAGGGUUCGAAACUUGAGGGUAAAUCACCAUUUUCAUUAAUAUGGUGGUUUCGAAGGUUUUUGCGGGGCUUAUGUACGUUCUAUUCAGGGCAGAAUUUAGUUUUAUUUAUUAAUUUAUGAUAUUCUAGCUUUGAAUCUUGAGGUGCUUUAUUUGAAAUGUUGUCUGAAUGUGGAAAAGGGUUUUGUCAAAUCGUAUAUGAUUUUUGCACUUUCGUUUGUCUUUUUUGUUAAUUGUGCUAGGUUUCGUGAGGUUUGUUGUACAGUGAUCAAGGAAAAUUAAGGGUUUUAUGUGUAUUUAUGUGUUACAUUCUUACUUUCGAUGGAUUGUACGAGGGUUUUCUUAUUUGAUCUGAUUAUGCUCUUUGAAUACAUUCCUGAAUUGCAUAAAUUAUAUGGAUCUAUUUUUUUUCUUUUUUAUGUUCUGAUUGUUCCUUUGAGUUUACCUUGUGUUCUGUUCGUAUUCGAUUCAUUAUGAUACCUAGAUGAAAUGAUUUUGGCGGUCUGAAAUAUGUUUUGGUCUUCCCUAAUAGAAAUACUUCCGUUACAACUCGUGAGCCCUGUGUCGCGUAUUGCAUUUAACAGUCUGUUCAAACGUAGUGGAGCUCGAGAUUCGACUUCAUUCGCCUAGUGUUCGACUCUUAUGACUUAUUUAAUGUUAAAGAAUGUCUUUUGUGUGAUUCGGCUUGUUCUGGAAGUGGAUGCAUGCUUUAAUGCUCAUAAGCCGUUUCGAGUACAGAUGGUGUCUACAGGUAUUGUAUACGGUAAAAAGCCAGCUUCAUUUUGCCUUGUGCAGACAAUCAAAUUAAAGCCAGCUUCAUUUUGCCUUGUGCAGUUUUUUUACAGUAGCUUACUUGGCAAGCAAGCCUCCUGCUUAUAACUAAGCUUUCAACAUCACAUCAUCAAAUAUGGUGCCACAUCAGCAUGCUUUUGGCCAAGGUGUCCAAAACAGGCCCAGACCAAUAGGCGUGCAAAAGAGGCCCCAAUAGUUGUGCAGCUGAUAUGGCAUCACCUGAUUGGGUUGCAUCACCUGAUUGGGUUACUUUUCAUAAUAUUAAUACAUUUCCUAACAAAUAUUGGUACAUUUUUUAACAAAAAUUAAUAUUUUAUGUUUCAAACAAUAGGUUUUAUUUGUUCAAUUUUUGGAACAAAAGGUAUCAACAAACCUCACAACAAUUGAUACAUGCUCAACUAAUAGUGCUCUUCCCCUAUCUGUGCUAAGAUUUGCUACAAAUUUUUGAAUUCACUAUUUCAUAAAAAGAUACUUUUUGGGCUA